rnacentral:rRNA from 1 species
UGACGCAGCGACGCCGCGUGUGGGAUGACGGUCUUCGGAUUGUAAACCACUGUCGGAGGGACGAAUACGCCGCAAGGCGGGUGACGGUACCUCCAAAGGAAGCACCGGCUAACUCCGUGCCAGCAGCCGCGGUAAUACGGAGGGUGCGAGCGUUGUCCGGAAUCACUGGGCGUAAAGGGCGCGUAGGCGGCCUGAUAAGUAGGGGGUGAAAUCCUGCGGCUUAACCGCAGGGCUGCCUUCUAAACUGUCGGGCUUGAGCACAGUAAGAGGCAGGUGGAAUUCCCGGUGUAGCGGUGGAAUGCGUAGAGAUCGGGAAGAACAUCAGUGGCGAAGGCGGCCUGCUGGGCUGUUGCUGACGCUGAGGCGCGACAGCGUGGGGAGCAAACAGGAUUAGAUACCCUGGUAGUCCACGCCGUAAACGAUGGGCACUAGGCGUCGGGGGGAGCGACCCUCCCGGUGCCGUCGCUAACGCAGUAAGUGCCCCGCCUGGGGAGUACGGCCGCAAGGCUG